GUGAGGAAUAUUGGUCAAUGGGCGGGAGCCUGAACCAGCCAAGUCGCGUGAAGGAAGAAGGAUCUAUGGUUCGUAAACUUCUUUUGCAGGGGAAUAAAGUGCAGGACGUGUCCUGUUUUGUAUGUACCCUGAGAAUAAGGAUCGGCUAACUCCGUGCCAGCAGCCGCGGUAAUACGGAGGAUCCGAGCGUUAUCCGGAUUUAUUGUGUUUAAAGGGUGCGUAGGUGGUUUGAUAAGUCAGCGGUGAAAGUUUGCAGCUUAACUGUAAAAAUGCCGUUGAAACUGUCGGACUUGAGUGUAAAUGAGGUAGGAGGAAUGCGUGGUGUAGCGGUGAAAUGCAUAGAUAUCACGCAGAACUCCGAUUGCGAAGGCAGCUUACUAAGCUACAACUGACACUGAAGCACGAAAGCGUGGGGAUCAAACAGGAUUAGAAACCCGAGUAGUCC
rnacentral:rRNA from 1 species